AAAUUGACUCUAGUAGGGAGUC
ensembl:ncRNA